CAUGUGCAUUCCCAAGGCGCUGCUGAAUGGAUGCCACCUUCAGUAAAGAAGAGUCAAUGGAUUCUUCCCAGUCUAGCCAAUGUGGACAAGAGAAAAUGACAGAGCUUUAACUGGCACUGGAGGACUUCUUGGCAUGCUUUGCAAAGGGACCCCUGCUUGUCCCUCCUGCAGGGCAUGCAGGCUGGGGUGGGUAGGAUGGAUGCCUGAGCACUUCCCAAUAAAGACUGAAAAUGUUUGCAAGCUACCUGAACACCUCACUCCCUGAGCGAUGAGACCCCACAUGAAGUUGGCACAGUAUUCACACCAGUGUGGACCUCGAAACGUGUGGACCUGCAACAUAAAGGAGGGAGAAAAAAAAGAAAUGGGGUCACUGGGAGGCAGAUGGUCUGACAGAUGGAACAACUAAACUGGAUAAACAACAGAAGACUCAGUAGGAGCAAAUCGUUACCACACAGUGCCCACAUCUUUCCAUAGUCUAGAUGAAAUAAACCACAGGCA
rnacentral:lncRNA from 1 species